rnacentral:rRNA from 1 species
GACGAACGCUGGCGGCGUGCUUAACACAUGCAAGUCGAACGGAAAGGCCCUGCUUUUGUGGGGUGCUCGAGUGGCGAACGGGUGAGUAACACGUGAGUAACCUGCCCUUGACUUUGGGAUAACUUCAGGAAACUGGGGCUAAUACCGGAUAGGAGCUCCUGCUGCAUGGUGGGGGUUGGAAAGUUUCGGCGGUUGGGGAUGGACUCGCGGCUUAUCAGCUUGUUGGUGGGGUAGUGGCUUACCAAGGCUUUGACGGGUAGCCGGCCUGAGAGGGUGACCGGCCACAUUGGGACUGAGAGACGGCCCAGACUCCUACGGGAGGCAGCAGUGGGGAAUAUUGCACAAUGGGCGGAAGCCUGAUGCAGCAACGCCGCGUGCGGGAUGACGGCCUUCGGGUUGUAAACCGCUUUCGCCUGUGACGAAGCGUGAGUGACGGUAAUAGGUAAAGAAGCACCGGCUAACUACGUG